rnacentral:rRNA from 1 species
AGUGAACGCUGGCGGUAGGCCUAACACAUGCAAGUCGAACGGCAGCAUAGUAAGAGCUUGCUCUUACGGGUGGCGAGUGGCGGACGGGUGAGGAAUACAUCGGAAUCUACUUUUUCGUGGGGGAUAACGUAGGGAAACUUACGCUAAUACCGCAUACGACCUACGGGUGAAAGCAGGGGAUCUUCGGACCUUGCGCGAUUGAAUGAGCCGAUGUCGGAUUAGCUAGUUGGCGGGGUAAAGGCCCACCAAGGCGACGAUCCGUAGCUGGUCUGAGAGGAUGAUCAGGCAAACUGGAACUGGGACACGGUCCAGACUCCUACGGGAGGCAGCAGUGGGGAAUAUUGGACAAUGGGCGCAAGCCUGAUCCAGCCAUACCGCGUGGGUGAAGAAGGCCUUCGGGUUGUAAAGCCCUUUUGUUGGGAAAGAAAAGCAGCAGGUUAAUACCCCGCUGUUCUGACGGUACCCAAAGAAUAAGCACCGGCUAACUUCGUG